AAGAUACGAGCUUUACGCAUUUUACAACGAAUCCGCCAUUACAACACCUCCGCCGGCACCACUACCGCCGGUUUCAGUUCCUCCGCCGCCGCCGGGGAAAGGUGGGAGUUCAAGUGUACUAGUGGUAGCCAUUGUGGUUCCUAUUAUAGUGGUUGCUCUGCUUUUCAUAGCUUGUUAUUGUUUCCUUGCAAAGAGGGCAAAGAAGACUUUUGACACAGCAUCUGCAUUUGAUGGUAAAGAUGUCAAUUGAAUUAUAAUCUGAUUUAUGUCAAUGUUCUAGGCAUGGAGGCUCUGGAGUAAUGGGACACCGCUAGACCUCAUGGAUCCAAUGAUUUUAGAUAAUUUCCAAAGGAAUGAAGUUGUUCGAUGUGUCCAUAUAGGUCUUUUGUGUGUUCAAGAAGAUCCUGUAGAGCGUCCACCCUUGUCAACCAUUGUUCUGAUGCUCACUAGUAAUACUGUGACAUUACCCGUCCCUAGGCAACCAGGUCUUUUCUUUCAGAGUAGACUUGGAAAAGACCCUCUUGUAACCGCUGGAACUCACAAAAAAAGAAUUUGUAAAUAGGCAAAAUCAUGUUUAACAAACUUCAUCUUAA